rnacentral:rRNA from 1 species
CCUACGGGAGGCAGCAGUGAGGAAUAUUGGUCAAUGGGCGUAAGCCUGAACCAGCCAAGUCGCGUGAGGGAAGAAGGUCCUACGGAUCGUAAACCUCUUUUGUCGGGGAACAAAGAGGGGGACGUGUCCCGUCUUGGAAGUACCCCAAGAAAAAGGAUCGGCUAACUCCGUGCCAGCAGCCGCGGUAAUACGGGGGAUGCGAGCGUUAUCCGGAUUUAUUGGGGUUAAAGGGUGCGCAGGCGGCGUUUUAAGUGAGCGGUAAAAGAGCGGGGCCCAACCCCGGCGGGGCGUUGAAACUGGGGGGCUUGAGUGUGGGAGAGGAAGGCGGAAUGCGUGGUGUAGCGGUGAAAUGCAUAGAUAUCACGCAGAACCCCGAUUGCGAAGGCAGCCUGCC